UACGGGGGGGGCAAGCGUUGUUCGGAAUUACUGGGCGUAAAGGGCUCGUAGGUGGCCAACUAAGUCAGGCGUGAAAUCCCUCGGCUUAACCGGGGAACUGCGUCUGAUACUGGACGGCUUGAGUUCGGGAGAGGGAUGCGGAAUUCCAGGUGUAGCGGUGAAAUGCGUAGAUAUCGGGAGGAACACCUGUGGCGAAAGCGGCUCACUGGACCAUUACUGACGCUGAGGCGCGAAAGCUAGGGGAGCAAACAGG
rnacentral:rRNA from 1 species